GCAGGAUCAACCCGGUAGCCUUCCUCACGGACAUUGACCCGCACGGCGCGAGGCCGGGACGGGACCGAAAUCGUUCGAAAUAGGCCUUCAGGCCUUUUUGCGGACAGAUAGGAGCCCUUCGACUCCGUGCCCUCAUUGUUUUCUGCAUCCCAGCGCCCGAGCGAGAACUCGUGGACCACGAUACCGACACGGAACGUGGAAGUACGGGGGACACAAAUCCCGUUUCGAGUUUCACCCGUGACCGCACCGAGAACGGGCAGCCUAAGGCGAACAGCUAGAGAUUGACGACCGAAUUCCAUCAAGUAGGUACGAAACACAGGAAACCGAAAGACGGCCAAGGUAAAUUGUGCCAACAAUGAAGAGGAUAGCAAGGUCGGACGUCCCUGCCCGAGGCAGGGAUCCAACCAAACCGGGCUAAC
rnacentral:misc_RNA from 1 species